rnacentral:rRNA from 1 species
UACGGAGGGGGCUAGCGUUGUUCGGAAUUACUGGGCGUAAAGCGCGCGUAGGCGGCUUUGUAAGUUAGAGGUGAAAGCCCGGAGCUCAACUCCGGAAUUGCCUUCGAUACUGGCGAUCUUGAGUCCGGAAGAGGUGAGUGGAACUCCUAGUGUAGAGGUGGAAUUCGUAGAUAUUAGGAAGAACACCAGUGGCGAAGGCGGCUCACUGGUCCGGUACUGACGCUGAGGUGCGAAAGCGUGGGGAGCAAACAGG